AUUGAACGCUGGCGGCAUGCCUUACACAUGCAAGUCGAACGGCAGCGGGGGAGAAGCUUGCUUUUCCUGCCGGCGAGUGGCGAACGGGUGAGUAAUACAUCGGAACGUGCCCUGUAGUGGGGGAUAACUAGUCGAAAGAUUAGCUAAUACCGCAUACGACCUGAGGGUGAAAGUGGGGGACCGCAAGGCCUCAUGCUAUAGGAGCGGCCGAUGUCUGAUUAGCUAGUUGGUGGGGUAAAGGCCUACCAAGGCGACGAUCAGUAGCUGGUCUGAGAGGACGAUCAGCCACACUGGGACUGAGACACGGCCCAGACUCCGACGGGAGGCAGCAGUGGGGAAUUUUGGACAAUGGGCGAAAGCCUGAUCCAGAAAUGCCGCGUGUGUGAAGAAGACCUUCGGGUUGUAAAGCACUUUUGUCCGGAAAGAAAUGGCUCUGGUUAAUACCUGGGGUCGAUGACGGUACCGGAAGAAUAAGGACCGGCUAACUACGUGCCAGCCGCCGCAGUAA
rnacentral:rRNA from 1 species